GCCUACGGCCAUGCCACCCUGAACAUGCCAGAUCUCAUCUGAUCUCGGAAGCUAAGCAGGGUCGGGCCUGGUUAGUACUUGGAUGGGAGACCACCUAGGAAGACCAGGUGCUGUAGGUA
rnacentral:rRNA from 1 species